UCACUCUUUUGUUGGUGGUUCAGUCUC
rnacentral:piRNA from 1 species